rnacentral:lncRNA from 1 species
CAGACGCGCUGCUCUGCUCUCGCCGGUCCGGAGACACAGUGAAAACUGCCAUUCAGACCUUCCAUUUCAGAGUCUCUGACAACAGGACACAGGGAAAGCAGCCACUGAAGCCAUGCGAUGUGGGUCUUCCCCGAGGAAGGAACCUUGAGCUGCCAGCUUUGCAGGAGCUUUGCUUAGCCUCCCCAGAGCACACGGGGUGCCACCCGCCUGACUGUCUGAAGGCAAAGCUUGACCUCGCCUGAUCCCUGGGUAUUCAGGGCCUCCGGCAGAGGAGACGCAAGAUUCUGGCCAGGUAAAAACCCAUGACACACGGUCUCUGUGCUGCUCGGGAGCUUCUGGAGAAGACGCAGCAGGAGCAGGACAGGGGGCCCUGGCCGCCACUCUGUCGGGGAGAAUUCACCCUGAAACUUCCCUGCACUGCGCUGCUCUCACUGCACUGGAGGCAGGCGCUGGUACAGAGUGAGCACAGAACAGGAGACCACGUCCUGCAACAGGACUUUGGGGGGCUCCACUAGCUGGUGAUAUUUUCGCUCUCCCAGUGCAAAAACCAGUUACCUCUAUGGAAAGUUGAGCCGGAUUCUACCAUUCUCUGUAGUGACCCGUCACGGUGAAAUCAAUAGGGAAAAGCUGACAGUGCAUGGCCUCGAGGUGUGAGCAGGGCUGCCACGUGCCUGUGCCUGCAGUGUCCACCGUCUGCAUGGAGACCUUGACUGCGUCGCCCCCUCAGGCCGGGCAAUCGUCAUUUCCAGUGUGGCACCCACAAUGUGAUGAAUCGGCACCAGUACAAGGCCAUCUUUAUGCAAAUGCUGCGUUUCUCAGGAUGCUGGCCCUUAGCAUGUGUCGGGUUUGAUACCAGAGAUUAGAGAAUGGGGACUUAGCGGAGGAGGACGCCGCCCGAGGCCGAGGCAGCUCUUCGUAGAUGUCCACACAGCACGGACCUCGGCAUCCUGCCUCCAACACCGCGGGACGCGACAAGUCCAGCGCUGUCUGGCAAUGUGGAAAAGUAGCUCAGUACCAGAGUUUCUUUUCAAUACACUCAUGGGUAGAAUAGGUUUAUAAAACUAUCACAGGAUGCGAAGCAGUCAGCUGAGUGAUUUGAGAGCAGGAAAUGGACCCCUGCUAGCCAGGAAGCAGUAAAACCUGCUCGACAGGACAGAAGGCAAGUGCUGAGGAAUGGAAGAAAUCACGAAAUGAUGGAGGGCUUUUAAAAAUGCAUGUGUUUUGCAUUGGCAUCUCUACUGUCAAGUACAGAAUCUGUUCAACGUUUCGUUGAAGAACUGAAAAUGAAUAUAUAAACUAACAAGAAAGUUUGAAGGAUAAGUAAGUAAAUAAGAUUUAGAAAUUAUGUACUGUGAGUAUGUGACAAAGCAUUUAAAAACUUCAGCAAGAUGAGAGUCUUGGCUUGGUAAGUGAAUUCGGUGGUCAGAGUGAGACAGGAAAACGAGCAUGUGAUGAUGGUUCUCUCCUGGGCUUUAUAGUCCCAGGAGAGGGAGGCCUUUUACAGCAGAGAAGGAAAUACAGAGGAGAAAAGUCAAGGAAAUGUGCAUCAGUAGUGGGGUCUUCUAAGCUGAGGACUUUAUUUGAGAACCUUAGUGUUAGUCUGUAUAUAAAAUCAAUACUGCUGCCCAUGGUCACCACAGGAUUUCCUUUUAUAAGUGGAGGAAAUUCAGGGUUGGAGAAUAUCAAGAAGAAAAGUGGAUUCACAAUAAAUCAUUUAAUUCUUGCAAAAGGAAGCUGUGUGGCUUAGUAAAACAAUAACUUACUGAGGGCUUGCUGUAUGCUGGGCGUGUGUGGCUAAACAUCCAGGCCACAAUGCAGGCAGAGCUGUCCCGCCAGGCCAGAGCUCACAGGAAGGACCAGGCCAGCGGGCUCUGGUGCCCACCACUGGCAGACACUGCAGUCUGCUCAGCUGCUCUUACAGCCACUGCCCAAUACUGCUCUGACCUCAGCUUGCUACAGGUUACUAUUUUCUUAAGAAAAAGUCGCCUUUCCGAGGUCUUAAAAUAAUUAAAUAUGAGUGGUAAUAAAGAGAGAGCCAAAGGAAAAGUCACACAAGUACCUUGAACAGUUUGAAAAGAACUGAUGUACUUUCUCUGGUGUCGUUAAUGUAGUGGUGCCAGCCUCAGACUGCUUCUGCGCUUAGCCUGGGCUUCUCCCUGUGAUCUGUGAACCUGCCUGGGUCCAGGGUUACUCUGUCUCAGCUUGAUAGAAAACAACCAAAGAGGAGCAUCGCACAGCUUUCAGGAAAGUGAUCUCUAAGGUGAGAAGCCAUAAGCCAGGUUUGAAGGAAGGGGUGCUCCAUCUACCACAAACAGCCCUGGGGCAUCUGACCUUUGUCCUCCUGUCAAAUCCACAGUGCACGAGGUCGUUUUGUUAGAGUUCUUCCAAGCUGAGUUAGAUAUUUGCAAUGCAAGUAUUUUCAAUAAAAUUAAAUUUCUUCCUUUUUGUGGUUGACAGGCACAACUAUUUUUUCCUGCAGAAUGAAUGAAAUACACCGAUAAUGCUCAAUUUUAAAUAUAAUGAUUCUUUCAUUUUAAUAGAAAAUCACAGUUUGUGAAUGAUACAUUUUCCCCAACCCUAAUGUCUCUUGUUUUCUUGACAUGAAGUUAUUCAGGACUUCUAGUACAUUAAUCAAGGUUGGUGGCAUUUAUAUUGUUGAGCUUAUGUACUUGCAUUCAUGCACACACGUGGGUACACAGACUAGCAAUACUUCAUAGUGCACAUAGAUGUGUUGUUGUUCCCACUAUGUACCCAAACAUUUAUCACAUACUGCAAAAUACUUUUCUAUAAUAGGCCCU